UACGUAGGAGGCAAGCGUUAUCCGGAUUUAUUGGGCGUAAAGGGCGUGUAGGUGGCCAGUAAAGUCUCUUGUGAAAUCUCCCGGCUCAACUGGGAGGGGUCAAGGGAUACUCACUGGCUCGAGGGAAGCAGAGGAGAAUGGAAUUCCCGGUGUAGUGGUGAAAUGCGUAGAUAUCGGGAGGAACACCAGUGGCGAAAGCGAUUCUCUGGGCUUAACCUGACACUGAGGCGCGAAAGCGUGGGGAGCAAACCGG
rnacentral:rRNA from 1 species